CUGUGUCUGUGUGUCUUUGUGUAUGGACUCAGCAGUCUGUGUGUGUGUGUGUAUGGACUCACACAUAGACUGCUGAGUCCAUACACACACACACAGACUG